UCCCUCCCCUGUUGUUUUUCCCUUUAUUUUCCGUGGAAACAAAAGCACACAAGUAACAUCGUGGUCGUCCUGCUCCUUUCCCCCAACCGUACCUUGCUCCCACAGAAAUCCCCACCCAAAUCCAUCGUCGCCCUUCGCUGCCCCUAAACCCUAGCGGACGCGGGCACCAAGGCCGCGGGGUCGCGGCGGCGGCGGCGGCGGCAUCGCUCCUCUCAACCGACGGCGGCGCUGCCCUGCUCCCCUCGACCUCGACCGACGAUGGCCUAGCUCCUCUCGACUAUGGUGGCAUCAGGCCCUCUCCGGCCGCCGCUGCCUGUUCACGGUCGCGGUCAGGCCAGGGAUGGUCAGAAGCUGCAGCGCGUAUGGCGGAUCUAGCGCGGUCAGCCUGGAUCCGGCUCCUGGAUGGCGAGAGGUGGUGAGUGGCCACUGCUGAGUGGACACUAGAUGAAGGGUGGCGAGAUGAGCAUUAAUCCCGUUCGUGUUGGUGGUGAUGCAGUUCCCAAAUCAGAAUAAUGGCAAUGAUGCUUUGUAAAUUUUGCAGUGGCGAACAGCAGCUGCUGGUGGACUUGAUCAGCACACAAGUAGCUCUGUGUAAGUUAAAUGAACUGUGGUUGUUAUAAAAAAGUGAUAAAAAAAUCAGAUGGAGCUUGGGCUACUGAACUUAAACUCAAGUCCUUUUGCUAAUAGAUACAUUACAAUAUUUUUAUUGGCCUUGCUAAAAUAUGUUUGUUCCUGCAGUUCAUGCUUUUUGAUAGUCAAUUGUUUUUAUGAUACCCAUUUGGUGUAGCUGCACAAAGAAUAUAUUUGAUCCUGCAGUAGAUAGUCAUUUUGUAUUCUUGUUUAUUCUGCUAGAAUAUAUUUGUUCCUGCAGUAGAUAGUCAUUUUGAUGUAUCUGUAUGACUGACAUUGUAAAGCUCAACCAUACAUUGGUGGGCACAUAAUUUGCAUGUUAAUUUUUCACAGUUUCGUCCACACAAAUUACUACUAUUCUUUUGAUGCAACAGCACGGCUCCUUGCCUAGAUUAUCAUAGUGGAUAUCAAUAUCAUAAAGAAAUAGCAGACAUUGUUAUGAAUAGCUGAAACAAUAAUAGGACAUUUUCUGAAUGACUUCUUCACAUGUAGUGGUGAGACGAAGUAUUUAUAGGGAAGCUUCUUCGCAUGAAGGAUAGGCACAAUCAUAUUGCUAAUGCAAUAGCUUGCACUGAGAGUCUGAGAUUAUGCAUUAUCAGAAGAUGGGAUGAUAUCUACAUUGUAAUCUCCGAGAUAAAUAAACAUUUUUUUGCAUUGGUGUAAAGAGUUAUCUAGAAAUUCUACAGUAACUUGUAUAGAAUGUAUAGCUUUUUGACAAGUGUGUUUAACAUGUGCCUGAGCUUAUGAGAUCCACAAGCUUAUGGAUAUGCCUCUGUUUAAGGCAGAACCUGAAGUUCCAUGGGGGUUGGUAUUCUAUUGAAGUUAGCGUAUCUAUUUGAGUAUGUUCUGCGUGUUUUUCACAGGUUCGGCAGAACCACCUUCAGUGGUAGUUAUAUUGCACUCCUCUGAUGUGAUUCUGAAGACAUUGCCAGGAACUAAAGGAAGGAAGACAGAUAAGCCGUGCCGAGCUCUAUAGCAACACAUAUAGAAAAAAUGGGCAGCCAAUUCAUGACUAAAGCUUUGAAAAAAAUGAUGAAAUCUGAAGAAGACUUCAAGAAGACCCUUCGGCUUUUUAGAUGCUGGCCCUACCAUUUUUAGAUGCUGGCCCUACCAUUUUACCUCUUUUAGGCCUUCAAAUUUCAUUGUUUUCUUACCUCAACUUAUAGCCUUUGGAAGUUCAAUCCUUGUCUCAUGCGUUGACUAGCUAUUUUUUUUUAUUCCCAUGAUUUAACAUUGCUUUGAGGUAAGAGAUAGCUUCUUUCUUUGGACUAGUUUGGAUCGAACAGAUAGCUUUUUAUAAUUCUUAUAUUGUAUUGUCCCUUAGAAAGCACCUUGGUAUUUUGAUGGCCUGAGCCUCGAUCUUGUGGGGUAAUUGUAGGUCCCUAGGUAAUUGCUUCCUCACUAUGGCUUUCAUAGCUCAGUCACACGCACACAUGGUUCACGCAUAGCUCAGUCACAACCUCGCAGGCACACUUCACUGCUUGUGUGUAAGCAAAUCGCGCUGUGCUUUCUACUAGGCUCAGCACACACAUACUUAAUUAAUUUCUUUAGAAUCAUGAUGAGUUAAAUACUGAGUUACUAAGUUGUAUUUUCGGCUUCAAAAGUUAGUACUAACCUUUUUGUUUUCAUUGCAGACAGCUUGAUUAUUUGUCAGUCAUAAAACUGAUGAUGCUAGUGCUCGUUUAAUCAACUUGAUUCAGAGAUAUAUCAGCUCUGGGUUAUCUGAAUCAUGGAAGCUUUCUCCCUCUACUUCUUUAUCUACAUCUUUUGUGGCACUACUUCCAUUUGCAUCACUUAGGAUUAGGGACCUACACAAAAGGACUUGGGAAUAUCGUUUGAAGAUAGAUAUUUGACUAUUUUUCUACCUUAUUGAUUAUUUUUUGUUACAAAUAUAACUAUGUAUGCCAGAAAGAUUUAAAUGAUUGGAUUGUGCUGUUAAUAUCUGCUUUCAUCGGUUAA